rnacentral:lncRNA from 1 species
CUCGGCCUCCCAGAGUGCUGGGAUUACAGGUGUGAGCCACCGUGCCCAGCCAAAAUUUUCAUUUUUUGAGACAGAGUCUCACUCUGUCACCUAGGCGGGAGUACAGUGGCGAGCUCUUGGGUUACUGCAACCUCCGCCUUCCUGGCUUAAGCAAUUUUUGUGCCUCAGCCUCCCAAGUAUCUGAGAUUACAGGCGUGUGCCACCACACCCAGCUAUUUUUUAUUUUUUAUUUUUAGUAGAGAUGGGGUUUCGCCAUGUUGGCCAGACUGGUCUGGAACUCCUGGCCUCAAGUGGUCCUCCCACCUCGGCCUCUCAAAGUGCUGGGAUUACAGGCGUGAGCCACCACGUUUAGCUGAGUAUAAUUUUAAAUAGCCCUAUGUGACAAGUGGCUACUUUAUUGGACAGUGUAGAUCUAAGAUUAAUUCCUCAACUGUUUUGCACUCAACAAAGACAUACCUCUGAGUUGGCAACCAGCAGGGUGGAUAACGGGCCAGUGGUGAUAAAAUCAAAGAAUAGGUAAUGAAACAAUCAUCCAGUUAACAAUCAGCAAGGUUCUUCAGAGCCUAAUUAAUGUUUAAUUCUAAAUAAAUUGCAACAAUUAAGAAAA